UAGCUAGUUGGUGAGGUAACGGCCCACCAAGGCGACGAUCGGUAGCCGGACUGAGAGGUUGAACGGCCACAUUGGGACUGAGACACGGCCCAGACUCCUACGGGAGGCAGCAGUGGGGAAUAUUGCACAAUGGGGGAAACCCUGAUGCAGCGACGCCGCGUGGAGGAAGAAGGUCUUCGGAUUGUAAACUCCUGUUGUUGAGGAAGAUAAUGACGGUACUCAACAAGGAAGUGACGGCUAACUACGUGCCAGCAGCCGCGGUAAAACGUAGGUCACAAGCGUUGUCCGGAAUUACUGGGUGUAAAGGGAGCGCAGGCGGGAGAACAAGUUGGAAGUGAAAUCCAUGGGCUCAACCCAUGAACUGCUUUCAAAACUGUUUUUCUUGAGUAGUGCAGAGGUAGGCGGAAUUCCCGGUGUAGCGGUGGAAUGCGUAGAUAUCGGGAGGAACACCAGUGGCGAAGGCGGCCUACUGGGCACCAACUGACGCUGAGGCCCGAAAGUGUGGGUAGCAAACAGGAUUAGAUACCCUGGUAGUCCACACCGUAAACGAUGAUUACUAGGUGUUGGAGGAUUGACCCCUUCAGUGCCGCAGUUAACACAAUAAGUAAUCCACCUGGGGAGUACGACCGCAAGGUUGAAACUCAAAGGAAUUGACGGGGGCCCGCACAAGCAGUGGAGUAUGUGGUUUAAUUCGACGCAACGCGAAGAACCUUACCAAGUCUUGACAUCCCUUGACGAUGCUGGAAACAGUAUUUCUCUUCGGAGCAAGGAGACAGGUGGUGCAUGGUUGUCGUCAGCUCGUGUCGUGAGAUGUUGGGUUAAGUCCCGCAACGAGCGCAACCCUUAUGGUCAGUUACUACGCAAGAGGACUCUGGCCAGACUGCCGUUGACAAAACGGAGGAAGGUGGGGAUGACGUCAAAUCAUCAUGCCCUUUAUGACUUGGGCUACACACGUACUACAAUGGCGUUAAACAAAGAGAAGCAAGACCGCGAGGUGGAGCAAAACUCAGAAACAACGUCCCAGUUCGGACUGCAGGCUGCAACUCGCCUGCACGAAGUCGGAAUUGCUAGUAAUCGUGGAUCAGCAUGCCACGGUGAAUACGUUCCCGGGCCUUGUACACACCGCCCGUCACACCAUGAGAGCCGGGGGGACCCGAAGUCGGUAGUCUAACCGCAAGGAGGACGCCGCCGAAGGUAAAACUGGUGAUUGGGGUGAAGUCGUAACAAGGUAG
rnacentral:rRNA from 1 species